AGCGAACGCUGGCGGCAGGCCUAACACAUGCAAGUCGAACGAAGUCUUCGGACUUAGUGGCGGACGGGUGAGUAACACGUGGGAACGUGCCUUUAGGUUCGGAAUAACUCAGGGAAACUUGUGCUAAUACCGAAUGUGCCCUUCGGGGGAAAGAUUUAUCGCCUUUAGAGCGGCCCGCGUCUGAUUAGCUAGUUGGUGAGGUAAAGGCUCACCAAGGCGACGAUCAGUAGCUGGUCUGAGAGGGUGAUCAGCCACAUUGGGACUGAGACACGGCCCAAACUCCUACGGGAGGCAGCAGUGGGGAAUCUUGCGCAAUGGGCGAAAGCCUGACGCAGCCAUGCCGCGUGAAUGAUGAAGGUCUUAGGAUUGUAAAAUUCUUUCACCGGGGACGAUAAUGACGGUACCCGGAGAAGAUGCCCCGGCUAACUUCGUGCCAGCAGCCGCCGUAA
rnacentral:rRNA from 1 species